CUGUAAUGUUUGGUUGGUUAAUUCCUACACUGAUGAAGUUCUUGUUGAGCUUGGCCAAAAGGUUUCUAUGAGUCUUCUUGCAUUUCCAGUCAGCUUUGUGGGUGUACACAUCGAAACAUUUAAAAGAGAUUUGCAAAGGAGUACAGGGAGUUAGCUCUUGAAUCCAGCAUUCAAAAGUGGGGACAUGUACCCGCCCUCAACAAGCAGAAAUAAUCAUGAAUGAGAAAGGAGAAAAGGCUGCUGCUUGCAUCAACAGAGAAGAUGGUGUUCCUAACUUAAACGAUAUGAAACUUACUUUGUUUCAGCAGGAGAUUUUAUCCACAGUUCUCUAUCUCUACAACUGGGUCAAGCCUCUGUGUUCUGAAGAGAAUAUUUAGGGAAGAUGCAUACCUAUCAAGGAUGUCUGUUUCUAUCAUGGGGUCCUGUUAUCAACGACAAGGUUACAUCAAGGCUAUGGCUGACUUGAUUCACAAAGAGUUGGAGAAAUUCUCAAAGCCUUAGUUGGUCAUGGUAUUCUUUAGUUCCUAUGGAACCUUAAAGGCCAAGGAAUUGGCAAUGAUCAUACUCUUACAUACCAGGUUUGACUGUAAAACUCAAUUUCAUAAGUUUUAGUUUUCAUCUUUCUUA